rnacentral:rRNA from 1 species
UACGAAGGGGGCUAGCGUUGUUCGGAAUCACUGGGCGUAAAGGGCGCGUAGGCGGCUUUUCAAGUCGGGGGUGAAAGCCUGUGGCUCAACCACAGAAUUGCCCUUCGAUACUGUUAGGCUUGAGACCGGAAGAGGUGAGUGGAACUGCGAGUGUAGAGGUGAAAUUCGUAGAUAUUCGCAAGAACACCAGUGGCGAAGGCGGCUCACUGGUCCGGUUCUGACGCUGAGGCGCGAAAGCGUGGGGAGCAAACAGG